rnacentral:rRNA from 1 species
UUCGCAAUGCCCGAAAGGGUGACGAAGCGACGCCGCGUGGGUGAGGAAGGCCUUCGGGUUGUAAAGCCCUGUCAGGAGUUAAGAAAUGUAGGUGUGCUAAUAUCACGCCUAUUUGACGAAGGCUCCAAAGGAAGUCACGGCUAACUCUGUGCCAGCAGCCGCGGUAAUACAGAGGUGGCAAGCGUUGUUCGGAAUUAUUGGGCGUAAAGAGCACGUAGGUGGGUUUGUAAGUCAGAUGUGAAAGCCUCCUGUUCAACGGGAGAAUUGCAUCUGAAACUACUGAUCUUGAGUGUAGGAGGGGAGAAUGGAACUUCUGGUGGAGCGGUGAAAUGCGUAGAUAUCAGAAGGAACGCCGGCGGCGAAAGCGAUUCUCUGGCCUAUUACUGACACUCAGUGUGCGAAAGCUAGGGGAGCAAACGGGAUUAGAUACCCCGGUAGUCCUAGCCGUAAACGAUGGGCACUAAGUAGAGGGGUUUU